AACGAACGCUGGCGGUGUGCUUAACACAUGCAAGUCGAACGAGAACGUUUCCUUCGGGGAACUAGUAAAGUGGCGCAAGGGUGAGUAACACGUGAAUAAUCUGCCCUCGAGAUCGGGAUAACCUGGCGAAAGCUAGGCUAAUGCCGGAUAAGACCACAUUCCAAAAAGGAAUGCGGAAAAAGGAGUCUCAAUCUCCACUUGAGGAUGAGUUCGCGGACCAUUAGCUUGUUGGUGAGAUAAAAGCUCACCAAGGCUACGAUGGAUAGCCGGCCUGAGAGGGUGAUCGGCCACACUGGAACUGAGACACGGUCCAGACUCCUACGGGAGGCAGCAGUGGGGAACAUUGCGCAAUGGGCGAAAGCCUGACGCAGCAACACCGUGUGAGCGAUG
rnacentral:rRNA from 1 species